UUGUACCUCGUCGACCGGAAGGGUGUCCUUCCAGUCGACGAGGUACCUGUACCUCGUCGACCGGAAGGGUGUCCUUCCAGUCGACGAGGUACUU
rnacentral:miRNA from 1 species